rnacentral:rRNA from 1 species
AUAGAUACCCGGUAGUCCACGCCGUAAACGGUGGGCACUAGGUGUGGGCGACAUUCCACGUCGUCCGUGCCGCAGCUAACGCAUUAAGUGCCCCGCCUGGGGAGUACGGCCGCAAGGCUAAAAACUCAAAGGAAUUGACGGGGGCCCGCACAAGCGGCGGAGCAUAUGGCUUAAUUCGACGCAACGCGAAGAACCUUACCAAGGCUUGACAUACACCGGAAACGUCCAGAGAUGGGCGCCCCCUUGUGGUCGGUGUACAGGUGGUGCAUGGCUGUCGUCAGCUCGUGUCGUGAGAUGUUGGGUUAAGUCCCGCAACGAGCGCAACCCUUGUCCCGUGUUGCCAGCAGGCCCUUGUGGUGCUGGGGACUCACGGGAGACCGCCGGGGUCAACUCGGAGGAAGGUGGGGACGACGUCAAGUCAUCAUGCCCCUUAUGUCUUGGGCUGCACACGUGCUACAAUGGCCGGUACAAUGAGCUGCGAUACCGCGAGGUGGAGCGAAUCUCAAAAAAGCCGGUCUCAGUUCGGAUUGGGGUCUGC